rnacentral:rRNA from 1 species
UUCAAACCCAACUACACCCCUAACUCUAUAGCCCCUCAACCACACUGGCCCCUGUAUAGUUGAUUUUAGGUUGGGGCGACCACGGAGUAAAACAAAACCUCCAUAAUGAACGGGCCUACCCCCUUAUCUAAGAACCACACCCCCUAAGAAUUAGAAUACUAACAUAAAAUGAUCCAUUAUUUGAUUAAUGAACCAAGUUACCCUAGGGAUAACAGCGCAAUCCAUUUCGAGAGCCCAUAUCGACAAAU